rnacentral:rRNA from 1 species
GAAGAAGAGCACAAAGAGCAUAUGGUGGAUGCCUUGACAUCAAAAGGCGAUGAAGGACGUAGCAGCCUGCGAAAAGUCUCGGGGAGGUGGCAAGCAACCUUUGAUCCGGGAAUUUCCGAAUGGGGCAACCCUGCGCGAUGUUGAAUCGCGUAACUCCAACGCAAGUUGGAGAGCAUACUCGGCGAAGUGAAACAUCUCAGUAGCCGAAGGAAAAUAAAUCAAUCGAGAUUCCCCAAGUAGUGGCGAGCGAACGGGGAACAGUCUAAACCUCUUAUCUUUUUAGCGUUUGUAGAAAUUGGUUUCGAUCAGUUUUGAAAGAUGUUAUAAAAGGUGUAGGCCUGAUAGGAUAAGUGGUGUUGCGUGGCGAUUAUAUUAUCUCCCUACGGAGAUUGGUAGAGAAGUAUCUUCCCUAGUAGAAUCACGUGGAAUACGUGGGCCAAAGAAGGUGAAAGCCCUGUACGCGAAAGGGGAUAUAGCUUUACGGUGAUCGUUCACAAGUAUCACCAGACUCGCGAAAUCUGGUGAGAAUCCGGGCCGACUAACGGUCCAAGACUAAAUACUUUUGAUGAUCGAUAGUGGACAAGUACCACGAGGGAAAGGUGAAAAGCAGCCCGGUGAGGGCGAUGAAAUAGUAUCUGAAACCAUGUGCUUACAAGGAGUCAAAGUCCAAAUACCCGCAAGGGUAUCGGAUAAUGGCGUUCCUAUUGAAGAAUGAGCCAACGAGUUUAUUGGGUGCGGCUUUCUUAAGGGCCUUUGGUCCGAAGGAGCAGUGAAAGCGAGCGUGAAUAGCGCGUUUGUCGCACUUAUAAGACCCGAAACCGGGUGAGCUAACCAUGACCAGGGUGAACUUUGCAGAAAUGCAAAGGAAGGCCCGAACCAACCAGCUGUGCAACACUGGUGGAUGAGUUGUGGUUAGGAGAGAAAUUCUUAUCGAACUCGGUGAUAGCUGGUACUCCUCGAAAUAGUUUAUCGACUAGCCUCGGAAGAUCCCUCUGGCGGUAGAGCACUGAAUGAGACUUGGUGGAGCAAUCCAUUAAGUUUCAACCAAACUCCGAAUGCCAGAGAUUAUAUUCCGGGAGUCAGUCCGUGGGGGCUAAGCUCCACAGGACAAAAGGGGAACAGCCCAUGACCGUUAUUUAAGGUCCCUAAGUCUAGGUUAAGUGUAAAAGGAGGUGAAAUGACUCAAACAACCAGGAGGUUGGCUUAGAAGCAGCCAUCCUUUAAAGAAAGCGUAACAGCUCACUGGUCAAGUUGUUUCGCACCGAAAAUGUACCGGGGCUAAACCUAGCACCGAAGAUACGGGCUCUUUGAUUUAUCAAAGAGCGGUAGAGGAGCAUUCCUUGCUCAGCGAAGUCGGAUCCGUCAGGACCGGUGGAGAGCAAGGAAGAGAGGAUGUUGGCAUAAGUAGCAGUAAGGCCAGUGAAAACCUGGCCCACCGUAAACCCAAGGUUUCCUGGGCAACGCAAAUCGUCCCAGGGUUAGUCGGCCCUAAGGUGAGUCACUGAUGUAUGUCAGUGGGUAGCCGAUGGAUGAGGUUGUUAAUAUUCAACCACUUUCGUACUUUUGUUUAACACUGCGCAUUGCGAAGAUGCGAGCGUGUUUUGGUUAUAUUCGUUCCGCAAGGAAGAGACAAAGCCGCAAGGCAGAGUCAAUUCGGGUUGGAGCAGUGCCAAGAAAAGGUGUUAAGCGUUAAAAGUAUGAAAACCGUACCGUAAACCGACACAGGUGGGUGGGCGUAAAUGUGCUAAGGUGUACGAGAGAACCCUCGUUAAGGAACUCGGCAAAAUAGUAUGCGUAACUUCGGAAUAAGCAUUUCCUUGAUUUAUCAAGGACGCAGUUAACGAUUUCAAGCGACUGUUUAACAAAAACACAGGUCCCUGCGAAACCGCAAGGUGAUGUAUAGGGGCUGAUGCCUGGCCAGUGUCAGAACGUUAAGGGGAGAGGUGAUUUCCGAGCAAUCGGAAAGUAGCUUUGAACCGAAGCGCUGAUGAACGCCGGCGAUAACUAUAAUCGUCCUAAGGUAGCGAAAUACCUUGUCGUGUGAGUUACGACGCGCACGAAUGGCAUAACGACUUGAAAACUCUCUCAACGAGGGACUCGGCGAAAUUGCAAGAGAGGUGAAGAUGCCUCUUACCCGCGGCUAGACGAAAAGACCCCGUGAAGCUUUACUGUAGCUUGAUAUUGGGUUAAGGAUUUAUCUGUUCAGCGUAGGUGGGAGCUCCGAGCAAUCGGAGCGACGAUGAGACACCACCCUGAUGUUUUCUUAAUUCUAAUCUUCCUUGAUUAUCUCAAGGAGGAGACAGUAUCUGGUGGGCAGUUUAUCUGGGGCGGAUGCCUCCUAAAAUGUAACGGAGGCGUUUACAAAGGUGAGCUUGGCUCCGAUGGAAACGGAGCUGGACGUGCAAUGGCAUAAGCUCGCUUUACUGCAAGACCUACAAGUCGCGCAGUCCCGAAAGGGGAACAUAGUGGCUACUCCGGGGAUAACAGGCUGAUCGGGUCCAAGAGUCCACAUCGACGACCCGGUUUGGCACCUCGAUGUCGGCUCAUCGCAUCCUGGGGCUGGAGAAAAUAAAUCUUCUCUCUCUGACGGAAACGUCAGAGUAAUAAACGAGCCCAAAACGGUGAAGGCCUUUAAUAUUUGUUUUGGAUUUGCGCACGACGCAGGUCCCAGGUAUAAUAGAAACAUAUGUUGAAGGUUAAUCCCGUGGGAAAGCAAUGUUCCGAAGCUGAAAAGGCAUAUGCGGCCGGAUUUCUUGAUGCUGAUGGCGCCAUUAUGGCGACUAUUGAAAAACAUCAAGAAAAGAAAUUUGGCUUUAGAGUACGAGUAACAGUGAAAGUCACACAAAGUCGGCGUGAAAUUUUGGAAUGGUUCCAAAAAAAAUUUCACGCAGGGCUGAUUAGAAAAAAUCGCACCACUUUUGACUGGCAAAUUAGAGACCAGAAAGCGGCGAUCGAUUUUUUGGAAAUUUUGUUACCGUAUCUCAAAGUUAAAAAGCUGCAAGCGCAAAAAGCGUUGCGUAUUUUGCGACGAACAAUCAAAAGUUCAUCGCAAUUACGGCAAGUUGCCGAUUUGGCGGAUUCAUUAUCACAUUUGAAUGUGCGGUCGCAAGGCCGUCGCAAGAAUUUUGUGACAAUGAUCCAGGAAAAUUGCUCCCGUAACGACUGAACUUUCGAAUUUUUCGAAAGUGAGAUAGACGGUUCCUGUUGUUUUGGAAAUUAAACCGCUAUCAUACGGUUCGCACCUAAAGCAUGGUUGGUGACAAUCAAUGCUAUGGUGAUGGUAUAGUCUGAUACUCCCAGUAAUGGGAGGAAACACAAGUGAGGUCCCAAGGGUUUGGCUGUUCGCCAAUUAAAGCGGUACGUGAGCUGGGUUCAGAACGUCGCGAGACAGUUCGGUCUCCUAUCUGUCGCGGGCGCGGAAAUUUGAGAAGGCUCGUCUCUAGUAGACCCAAAAGGGUCCAUGCUACUUUCUCGAGUAAUUGAGAAUGACAAUUCAGCUAAUAACGGUGAAGUCUUAACAGUGUUUAUGGUUAUAGCUCACUUUUUUUGCGCGGUCUAAAGAAAAGUGGUAUAAUGUAUUUGAGGACCAUAAAUUAUUGUUUAAGAUAAUACCGUGGGAAGUCGAUCUAAAAUUAAAAAAGAAGAAUUAGCGUACCUUGCCGGCUUUUUAGACGGCGACGGCAGUUUAAUGCUUCAAAUCAAAAAACGCAGUGAUUCAAAAAGAGGAUGGCGUUUAAUGGCAACGAUCUGUUUUUAUCAAGAUUCUCGCCAUGACAUGCCAUUAUAUUGGAUGCGAAAAAAAUUGAAAAUAGGUUAUAUUUCGCAUCGUAAUGAUGGAAUGACAGAAUUGAGAAUUAAUGGAUUUGAUCAAGUAAAAAAUGUGGUCGGUCUGUUAUUUCCUUAUCUGCGUUUUAAAAAGAAACAGGCGCGGGUUAUAAUAAAAGCUUGCGUGUUGUUAGCUAGGAAACCUCUGAAAUUGCUCUCCAAAAAAGAGCUCAAUAUGAUUUGUAAUUAUUUAGUGAUUAUUCAGAAAAAUAAUUAUGCAACUCAUUCAAAAAAGAGUUUAGAGGAAUUAAAAUUAAUUUUAGGUUUGACCCCGUAACGACUGAUUUCUUUAAUACGGAAUUAAAGAAUGAGAUAGAAGUUGUGUAAAUUUAGCUUAAAACUUCUAUAACACGCUGACUCCGCCAGCUGGCGGAUGAAGAUAUAGUCUACACUUCUAGUGAUAGAAGAAUUAUGUGACGAGAGGACCGAGACGAAAGAACCUCUGGUUGAUGAGUUGUGGUACCAACCGCAUUGCUCAGUAGCCAAGUUCGGCACGGAUAAACGCUGAAAGCAUCUAAGCGUGAAGCCGUCUUCAAGAUUAAAUUUCAUAGACACCCUAUAGAUUAUGGGGUUGAUAGGUGGUAGGUGUAAGAUCCGUAAGGAUUUAAGCCGAGCCAUACUAAUCAGUCGUUCUCUUCUUCAU